rnacentral:rRNA from 1 species
AUGGACCCCCGCCGCUUCCUCUGCUGCCUCCUGCUCGCCCUCGCCCUCGCCUCCCGCCGCUGCGCCGCGCAGGGCGGCGCCGGGCGCUUCGCGUGCCUCGUGCCGGCCCCGUGCGACACGUUCGUCCUGUACCGCACGCAGGCCCCGGGGUCCCUCGACCUCGGCGCCGUCUCGGACCUCUUCGGCGUGAGCCGGGCCAUCAUCGCCAGCGCCAACGGCUUCGGCCUCGACGCCGAGGGCGCGGCGCUGCUGCCCGACCAGCCGCUGCUCGUGCCCGUCCGCUGCGGCUGCACCGGCGGCCGCUCCUUCGUCAACGUCACCUACCCCAUCCGCUCCGGCGACACCUUCUACGCGCUCGCGCUCACCGGCUUCGAGAACCUCACCACCCCCGACGUCAUCCAGGAGCUCAACCCGCAGGCGGUCUUCAACAAGCUCAAUGUCUCGCAGCUCGUCACCGUGCCGCUCUUCUGCCGCUGCCCCACGCCGGCCGAGCGGGCCGCCGGGGCGCAGCUGCUCGUCACCUACAUGUGGCGCCCUGUCGACACCAUGCCCGAGGUGAGCAACCUGAUGGGCUCCGACGUCGGCGCCAUCGCUGCGGUGAACAACGUCAGCGCCGACUUCACCUCCACGACGAUGCUGCCGAUGCUGGUCCCGGUGGCGCGGCCGCCGGUGCUUCCUCCGCUGCAAUAUGGCGCGAGCCCGAGCACCGGCGAUCCCGGAGCCAGCAAGGGCUUCUCGGGCGCCACCGUCGCGGCGAGCAUCGCGGGGUCUCUCGUCGCCGUCGCUGCCCUGUGCACGGCGAUCUUCGCGUACCGGAGGUACCGCGAGAAGAAGGCCACGGUGCACUCGGCGUCCAGGUUCGCGAGCCCGAGGUUUUGCUUCAACCAGAACGCUUACGGGAUUCAGAACAGCAGUUCCAUCGCUCGCAUGAUCAACGGAGGGGACAAGCUGCUCACCAGCGUGUCGCAGUUCAUCAACAAGCCUAUCAUCUUCGGUACAGAGGAGAUCAUGGAGGCGACGAUGAACUUGGACGAACGGUGCAGGAUCGGCAGCUCCUACUACCGGGCCAAGCUGGAAGGCGAGGUGUUCGCGGUGAAGCCGGCGAAAGGCGACGUGUCGGCGGAGCUGAGGAUGAUGCAGAUGGUCAACCACGCCAACCUCAUCAGGCUGGCCGGCAUAUCCAUCGGCGCAGACGGGGACUACACCUUCCUCGUGUACGAGUUCGCCGAGAAGGGCUCGCUCGACAAGUGGCUGUACCAGAAGCCUCCGUCCUCGCUGCCGUCGUCGAGCUCAUCGGCGGACACGCUCUCGUGGAACCAGAGGCUGGGCAUCGCGUUCGACGUCGCCAACGGCCUGCUCUACAUGCACGAGCACACUCAGCCGAGCAUGGUGCACGGCGACGUCCGCGCACGGAACAUCCUCCUCACCGCGGACUUCAGGGUCAGGAUAUCUAACUUCUCCGUGGCCACGCCGGCGAUGGCCGACGCCGCGGCGACGAGCAGCGACGUGUUCGCCUUCGGCCUGCUGGUCCUCGAGCUUCUCUCCGGCAGGACGGCCAUGGAGGCGCGCGUCGGCGCGGAGAUCGGCAUGCUGUGGAGGGACAUCCGGGCGGUGCUGGAGGCCGGGGACAAGAGGGACGCCAAGCUGAGGAAGUGGAUGGACCCCGCCCUUGGGGACGAGUACUACUUGGAUGCGGCACUCAGCCUGGCCGGCAUGGCGAGGGCCUGCACGGAGGAGGACGCGGCGCGGCGGCCGAAGAUGGCCGACGUCGUGUUCAGCCUUUCAAUGCUGGUGCAGCCGUCACCGGUGGGCGACGCGUUCGAGAAGCUAUGGCAGCCCAGCUCGGAGGAGAACAUUAGGAUUGUCAAUGAAGUGGCAGCCAGAUGA